UACGUAGGGGGCAAGCGUUGUCCGGAUUUACUGGGCGUAAAGCGCACGUAGGUGGUUUGAUAAGUUGGGUGUGAAAUCCCCGGGCUUAACCUGGGAACUGCAUUCAAAACUAUCAGACUAGAGUAGAGUAGAGGGAAGUGGAAUUUCCGGUGUAGCGGUGAAAUGCGUAGAUAUCGGAAGGAACACCAGUGGCGAAGGCGGCUUCCUGGACUGAUACUGACACUGAGGUGCGAAAGCGUGGGGAGCAAACAGG
rnacentral:rRNA from 1 species